rnacentral:rRNA from 1 species
AUGAAGGAUCAAGCAGACAAGCAUCGCAUAGAGCACACGUUUGUUGUUGGUGAGUCUGUGUUCUUGAAACUACAGCCCUACCUCCAGUCGUCAGUGGCUCCCCGCGCUAAUCACAAAUUGGCCUUCAAGUAUUAUGGCCCCUUCAAGAUUGUUGCUCGAGUGGGUGAGGUCGCUUAUCAGUUGGACUUGCCUAUAUCCAGCCGUGUGCACCCAGUAUUUCACGUGUCCCUCUUGAAGCGAGUACUAGCACCAGACUGUCAGGUUCGUCCUCACUUGCUCCCCCUUGACACUCAUCUCCAGGUCCCUGAACAGGUGUUGCGACAGCGGGUGGUCCGCAAAGGCAAUGAUUCUGCCGUCCAAGUCUUGAUCCGAUGGAGUGAUUCAACUGAUGAAUUAGCUACUUGGGAAGACAAAGAUACCCUCAAGCAGUUGUUUCCUCGUGCAUCGGCUUGGGGACAAGCCGUCUCUAAGGGAGGAGGGGUUGUCAGCGAUCAAGAGCAUAUUGAAGAACAUGUGACACGGGAGACGGAGGUUCAAAUUACGACCAGGCCCCGACGCAAGCCUCAGCAGCCCGCUAGGCUUGCUAGGCCUGAAUGGGCUACAUAA